rnacentral:rRNA from 1 species
ACGGGAGGCAGCAGUGAGGAAUAUUGGUCAAUGGGCGAGAGCCUGAACCAGCCAAGUAGCGUGCAGGAUGAUGGCCCUAUGGGUUGUAAACUGCUUUUAUGCGGGGGUAAACGAGGGGACGUGUCCCUUUUUGCAGGUACCGCAUGAAUAAGGACCGGCUAAUUCCGUGCCAGCAGCCGCGGUAAUACGGAAGGUCCGGGCGUUAUCCGGAUUUAUUGGGUUUAAAGGGAGCGUAGGCCGGACUUUAAGCGUGUUGUGAAAUGUAGUCGCUCAACGGGUGCACUGCAGCGCGAACUGGAGUCCCUGAGUGCGCGGGAAGUUGGCGGAAUUUGUGGUGUAGCGGUGAAAUGCUUAGAUAUCACGAAGAACUCCGAUUGCGAAGGCAGCUGACUGUAGCGUAACUGACGCUGAUGCUCGAAAGUGCGGGUAUCGAACAGGAUUAGAUACCCUGGUA